AAAAUUUUAAUGGGUAAACUUUAAAUAUCACUCAUGCCAUUUCACAUUUUCUCACUUUAAUAUCAUAUAGUUUAAAAUAUAUCAAGUUAGUAUUAUGUAAUUUUAUAUUUAUUUUGUCGUCAAUUUUUUCGUUAAUAUUUUAUUAAAUUAUGUACAAAAAACUUCAAAUACUUCAUCUAGGCAUAUUGAAUAUUCACUUUAGUAUUUUUUAGCUUUAAUUUUAUUACUGAUUUAACGAAAAUAAUUAAUGGAGUCGAUAAUAAAAAUAUAAAAAUGAAAUCACAUGACACUAAAUUAUUACACUUUAAACCACAGGGUACUAAAGUGAGAAAGUGUGAAACCAUAUGGUUAGUAUUUGAAGUUUUUUCAAAUUUUAUACUAUGGUAGUGGCACUAUAUUUUUUUGGAUAAACUUCAAAUAUCAUUCCUGUGGUUUCGUAUUUUCUCACUUUAGCACUCUGUGAUUUAAAGCGUAUCAAUUUAGUACCCUAUGGUUUCAUUUUUUUUCUUUUCAUCAGUCCCUCUGUUAACUUUCUGUUAAAUCAUAUACAAAAACUGUAAAUACCCCACCUAUAGUUUAUCGAAUAUUCACUUUAAUAAGUUUUAGUUUUAACGUUGUCAUUGAUUUAACGAAAAAAAUAGCGGAGAGAAUAAAAAAAAAGAAAAAUGAAAACACAGGGAAUGAAAAUGAUACACUUUAAACCAUAUGGUACUAAAGUGAAAAAGUGCGAAAUCACAGGGAUGAUAUUUUAAGUUUUUCCUAUUUUUUUUAUGUUUCCGACUAAUCAAAUUUUGUUUCUAAAAUUUACUUAUUUAUUAUAAUUUGAUUAAAUUACAGAUUUUUUUAUAUAAAUACUUUUUUUAUUUUUUUAACUUUCAAAAAAAACUUAUAUUUUACCCCAUUGAUAUUUCAAAUUAUCCUAUUUAGCCCUCCCUCUGUCAGAGUUCUAUCACUACUCUGUUCAGUUAUUAUAAUUUAUAGCAAAAAUGUCCUUCAAAAUGAUAGAAAUAUAUUAAAAAAUAAAUUUUUUUGUAGAAAAAGUAAGCGCAAUUUGGUUAUUUUGCCAUCUCCAUUAACGUUGUACUUCCGAAAAUAUUUUUAAAAUUUUAAGAGGGCAAAAUAUAGAUUUUUAAAAAAUUAGGGAGGAAAAGUAAAAAAACAAACAUUUAUAUGAGGUUUUCUAUAAUUUAACCUUAUAUUUUUUUUAAAAAUAAUUUGAAUUGGUGAUUGAGCUUAUUUUUGUUUUACCACCCGUGGUUCAAAAGUUUUACUUUGCUUUCCUAUAGUUUAGUUUAUUUAUAUUUUAUUAUUCCAUAUUUUAAAAGUUUGUACUUUGCAUCACUGUAGUUUAGCGCAUUUUUUACUUUGCCACUACGUGGUUUUUUUUAUAAAUUUUCGUAUUGUCAUCUUAUUUGAUAUAGAAUUUUUUAUGAAAUAAAAA
rnacentral:lncRNA from 1 species